CCUACGGGUGGCUGCAGUGGGGAAUAUUGGACAAUGGGCGAAAGCCUGAUCCAGCCAUGCCGCGUGUGUGAAGAAGGCCUUCGGGUUGUAAAGCACUUUCAGUGGGGAAGAAAGCCUUGGGGCUAAUACCCUCGAGGAAGGACAUCACCCACAGAAGAAGCACCGGCUAACUCCGUGCCAGCAGCCGCGGUAAUACGGAGGGUGCGAGCGUUAAUCGGAAUUACUGGGCGUAAAGCGCGCGUAGGCGGUCUGAUAAGCCGGUUGUGAAAGCCCCGGGCUCAACCUGGGAACGGCAUCCGGAACUGUCAGGCUAGAGUGCAGGAGAGGAAGGUAGAAUUCCCGGUGUAGCGGUGAAAUGCGUAGAGAUCGGGAGGAAGACCAGUGGCGAAGGCGGCCUUCUGGACUGACACUGACGCUGAGGUGCGAAAGCGUGGGUAGCAAACAGGAUUAGAUACCCGGGUAGU
rnacentral:rRNA from 1 species